GCACAGUGAGAUUGGAUAGAGGAAGGGGAUGUUGGACAGGAUGCGGUGAUUCAAUAUGUCAAAGAGUAUUUCCUCUGAAUGGUGUUGAUGCCCACCCCCUGUGAAUUGUCUCACUGUCUGAGGUGAAACCUUUCCUUCAGAAACUCAGUGGGCUCCUCUCCAUUCUACUCUCUGCUCCUUUCCCCCUUUCAUCAAUUGAAGGAUGAGGAGGACAAGAUGGACGGAUACCUGUGGAUGACAGCAAUUCUCCUGGCGUUCUGGGGUGAUGUGUUCACUGCACAAUCCCAGGCACCCAACUGCCAAGCAAGAACGAAGUACAUCCAGCAUGUGGUUCCACACAGCCAAGUAUCCAUCGCCUGCCCCAACUUGACCGGGGAUGAUCUCAGGUUCCAUCUACUGGGUUCCGUGCACGAGAACAGCGUUAAAAUUCACACCACGGUGCUCAAAAAGACUAAGGAGCAGAACCGAAACCACACCGGAACCAAUCGUCAAGAAAGCUUUGUCCAGUUCGGGCAGGUUGAACCGGCCCUGAACCAGAACCUGUCCAACAGCUACGUGUUCACAGUCAAUGGAACAGGCCUGUACAGCUGCAAGGCAGAGAGAAUGUGGCCUCCACCAUAUAAAGAGGACACUGUUGAGACUAUGCUGAUUGAAGGUAAGAGACUUCAUUUCCAAGAUCCCAUCAGUUUGUUCCUUUUCUUGAUAGUAGAAAACAGACUGCCGCUCUGUUUUCUACUAUCACCUGACAAAAACAACUGUUUGGCGUUUGGGAGCUGAUUGGCUGAUUUAUUCACACAGGGGAAUGUCAGAACCACCAAGUUCCACAGGAAAAUCCGAUUUGCCCGGAGGAUCUCAAGCCACUCCUCCUGUGGCUGUUAUUGGUGGGAUGUGGUGUACUUUUUUUCUACAGCGUCAUCAUCACGAUUAUCACCAUCUUCGUCACAGUAAGCACAUUAGCACCAUCUUCGUCACAGUAAGCACAUUAGCACCAUCUUCGUCACAGUAAGCACAUUAGCACCAUCUUCGUCACAGUAAGCACAUUAGCACCAUCUUCGUCACAGUAAGCACAUUAGCACCAUCUUCGUCACAGUAAGCACAUUAGCACCAUCUUCGUCACAGUAAGCACAUUAGCACCAUCUUCGUCACAGUAAGCACAUUACUAAGAUGACAAUUUGCAUGGAUUUGUCCGACGGGGGUUUUACCGGUAGUUGUUUUGGGAAAUUUCCUGGAAAAUCAGUGCAUUCAAAGUGCUUUUUACUGUCCCUGAUUUUUCCCCUUGAUGUUAUAUUUUAUUCAGGAAUGCAUUUUGUCUGUUUUCACUCCUACUCCCUACUGAAGGGCAGUGCCUUAUCAUUCCUUCUGUUGAGAAGGAAACAAAACAAGGCACAAUCAGCUGAACUGGAAAGACAAAUUCACUUAAUAAAUAGAGAAUGCUCAUCAUUGCUCAAGUGCAGUGUUGGGGAACGUUACUUUUCAAAGUUACUAAUUACAGUUACUACAGUGGGGAGAACAAGUAUUUGAUACACUGCCGAUUUUGCAGGUUUUCCCACUUACAAAGCAUGUAGAAGUCUGUAAUUUUUAUCAUAUUUACUCUUCAACUGUGAGUGACG
ensembl:lncRNA